CUGCAUGGAGAGGAUUUGAGAAAAUCAUCAGGGCCUUGAUGAAACAGUAUAAGCCCGACCCCGGUAUGGAGUGGGACGGUACCAGAGCCACCUGGAAAGAUUUUGAGGAGAUUCAUCAGCGACCUUUACAGCGAUGAGCAGCGCGAGGAGUCAUCACGACUUCAUCGACGUGUACAUGUACUUCAUCACCGCCUUCAACACCAGGGAGGAGAACAUCAGGAAGCAGAUGCAAAGCUUCGCUUACUGGAUCGAACUUAAGUACGACAGAAACGUCUUCAAGGACAUCAAAGAUGUGGGACUGCUAAAGCGCCACCUAGCGGAUAUCAGAAAGGUUGUGCUCGCCCCUGAGUACCCGCAAGCUGACGAUAUAGGAGAGGCGUCAAAGAGCAUGGUGUAUCAUCUCUUGAAGACUGUGAG